GCUGGGCUUCCUGUUGCUAGGCGACCCUCUCCGCGGGGAAGGUGGCGCACCUGCCUCCCCCCUCCCCCGCCCACUUGCGGCCGGCCCCGCCCCUCCGCUGACUGCACGCCCGGCCUCCUGACAGAGGGCGGAGGGCGUCUGGAGUGGGUAGAGAAGCCCAGGCGGUCCCCAGGCCCUUUGCUCUGGUCUGAAAGCAAUGGGACCUCUGCCCAAGAAUCUGAUGUUACAGACAACCAUAAAUUGAAAGCUCUGCCCCUUCUAGAACUCAUGGGCCCUGUGCUUAGUGGAGCCCUAUGGUCUAUUUGGAAACGCAAAGGGAGACCGUCUGAACAGAGGUGGAUAACAAGGUGUGGCAGCUUGAGGUCACUGGUCACUAGGAUCUGGGAACUCCGCUCUGACUCCGAGUCAGCGGACUGUGUAUCGGCUCUCCCUGGAGAGAGGAUAGAGGCCAGAUCCACUCCUCAUUAUAAUGCUGCCAGAUGAGGCUCACUCUGAGGGAGCAGCUGGGAGGACUGGAAUUCAGGAACCUUCUGGCCCAGGGGAUCUUGACCUGGACAUGCCCAGACCACCCGCAAACCAGUCUCUGGGGGUGGGGUCAGUUUUGUUUUUAAAGCUCCACAGGUGAGGUGAAUGAGAACCACAGACCUAGUCUCCCCCCCUCCUUCUGUAAAGUGAGAACACCUCGGCCCAGAGAGGAGAGGGCUCUUGGCUGAGGUCACCCAGCUAGUUAGCAGGGAAAUUCUGACUAGACUGUGAAAGCCUUAAAGACUAGAGCCCUGUACUUUCAGUUUCGAAGUUUCAAAUGAACUCUUCCCUGCUCCUGUGGUCUGACAGCGCAGGCAGGCCUCCAAGAGACAGAAAAGGCCACAGUCCUCUCCAAAGUGCCCAUCUUCCUCCCCUGAGCUUUGUUCUCCCAGCCGAGCCUCCCGCCCCCCAGUCACCCUGACUGCCUCAAGCACAGAUAUGUCACUUUCACAUGCUGCCCAGGCCAGCCUGUCCUGAGCCCUAGGCGGUUGAUUUGUUCACAGCAGACCGUGACCUGUUAGCUCCAAAGCCCACCUGAGACCAAACUCAAAUAUCUCCACAACCAAUUGUUUUAAACAUCACCCAAAUAAGCAAGUUUGUAGCCAUUUACAGCCAGCCUGCUUUGCAUACCCCAUGACACUGCUCCUAACAUCUGCGAGCUGGGGAUAAGCCCCAGGCCAUAAAGACCCCAAGCUGCCGCUGUGCUUCGGAGCUCUCUGACCCAGAAAUUCCUCACUGUGCUGCUGAGUGACAUCACCUAGACACAUGAGUCGUCCCCCCCCUCCCCCGCCCCAAGUCCCCAAGUCCUCCUAAGUAGCAACUCCCUACUGCUCGGGAGAGACUUCUGAGGGCAGAAGCGCACCUGUCAAGGCCCCGCCCAGUAAACCAGUAAAGCCCGGGUGCGCUGCUGCCACCUUGUGGCCGUUUCUUUUUCUUUGAUGUGCUCCAAAAUCUGCAACCUGCAACGCCCAGGGUUUUUGUUGUUGUUGUUGUUUUUGUUUUUUUUUUUUUACCCUAGGCUUCUUUCUAAAACAA